rnacentral:rRNA from 1 species
UACGAAGGGGGCUAGCGUUGCUCGGAAUUACUGGGCGUAAAGCGCACGUAGGCGGCUUUCUAAGUCGGGGGUGAAAUCCUGGAGCUCAACUCCAGAACUGCCUUCGAUACUGGAGAGCUUGAGUCCGGGAGAGGUGAGUGGAACUGCGAGUGUAGAGGUGAAAUUCGUAGAUAUUCGCAAGAACACCAGUGGCGAAGGCGGCUUACUGGACCGGUUCUGACGCUGAGGCGCGAAAGCGUGGGGAGCAAACAGG